rnacentral:lncRNA from 1 species
GGAACUGCUUGUCAACAACCAACUUUGCUGAGACAUUAUGUCAUGAGAUGGCUAAGCUCAAUUUGGAAAUUAUCCCUUAGGGCACCUUAAGUCAUAUUUCCGUUGAGCCUACCUUGGAUGACCAAAUUGUCCUAGCGCAAUUAGAAUAUAAAGAAAUAAAACUCAUCAAGAAGAAACUUGCGCAGAAAGAUGAGGGAUAUAAGCACUUCUGACAGGAUUGGAAGGGAGUUG